rnacentral:rRNA from 1 species
AUACGUAGGGGGCAAGCGUUGUCCGGAUUUACUGGGUAUAAAGGGAGCGUAGGCGGAUUCGUAAGUCAGGGGUGAAAUCCUACAGCUUAACUGUAGAACUGCCUUUGAUACUGCGGGUCUUGAGAUCGGAAGAGAGAGAUGGAAUUCCAGGUGUAGUGGUGAAAUACGUAGAUAUCUGGAAGAACACCAAUGGCGAAGGCAGUCUCUUGGUCCGUAUCUGACGCUGAGGCUCGAAAGCGUGGGGAGCAAACAGGAUUAGAAACCCCUGUAGUCC